rnacentral:rRNA from 1 species
GUUAGGAAUAUUGGACAAUGGACGCAAGUCUGAUCCAGCCAUGCCGCGUGAGUGAUGAAGGCCUUCGGGUUGUAAAGCUCUUUAGCCGAUGAUUAUAAUGACUGUAGUCGGAAAAUAAGCCCCGGCUAACUUCGUGCCAGCAGCCGCGGUAAUACGAAGGGGGCGAGCGUUAUUCGGAAUCACUGGGCGUAAAGCGUGCGUAGGCGGCUUUGCAAGUUGGGAGUGAAAGCCCAGGGCUCAACCCUGGAAUUGCUCUCAAAACUGCAAGGCUCGAAUUCGGGAGAGGAUAGCGGAAUUGUCAGUGUAGCAGUGAAAUGCGUAGAUAUUGACAGGAACACCAGUGGCGUAAGCGGCUAUCUGGACCGAUAUUGACGCUGAGGCACGAAAGCGUGGGGAUCAAACAGGAUUAGAAACCCCGGUAGUCC